CGGGGUGCAGCAGGCGCGAAAACUUUACAAUGCGGGAAACCGUGAUAAGGGGACACCGAGUGCCAGCAUCAUAUGCUGGCUGUCCAGGUGUGCAAAAUACACCUGUUAGCAAGGGCCGGGCAAGACCGGUGCCAGCCGCCGCGGUAACACCGGCGGCCCGAGUGGUGAUCGUGAUUAUUGGGUCUAAAGGGUCCGUAGCCGGUUUGGUCAGUCCUCCGGGAAAUCUGACAGCUUAACUGUUAGGCUUUCGGAGGAUACUGCCAGACUUGGAACCGGGAGAGGUAAGAGGUACUACAGGGGUAGGAGUGAAAUCUUGUAAUCCCUGUGGGACCACCUGUGGCGAAGGCGUCUUACCAGAACGGGUUCGACGGUGAGGGACGAAAGCUGGGGGCACGAACCGGAUUAGAUACCCGGGUAGUCCCAGCCGUAAACGAUGCUCGCUAGGUGUCAGGCAUGGCGCGACCGUGUCUGGUGCCGCAGGGAAGCCGUGAAGCGAGCCACCUGGGAAGUACGGCCGCAAGGCUGAAACUUAAAGGAAUUGGCGGGGGAGCACAAGGGCGAUUGCGG
rnacentral:rRNA from 1 species